GAUGAACGCUGGCGGCGUGCCUAACACAUGCAAGUCGAACGGAGAUUACGGACGGAAGUUUUCGGAUGGAAGACUGUAAUUCUUAGUGGCGGACGGGUGAGUAACGCGUGGGCAACCUGCCCUAUACAGGGGGAUAACAGCUGGAAACGGCUGGUAAGACCGCAUAAGUCGGCGAGACCGCAUGGUUUUGCCGGGAAAUGAGCAAUCAGGUAUAGGAUGGGCCCGCGUCCGAUUAGCCAGUUGGCAGGGUAAAAGCCUACCAAAGCAACGAUCGGUAGCCGGACUGAGAGGUCGGACGGCCACAUUGGGACUGAGACACGGCCCAAACUCCUACGGGAGGCAGCAGUGGGGGAUAUUGCACAAUGGAGGAAACUCUGAUGCAGCGACGCCGCGUGAGUGAAGAAGUAUUUCGGUAUGUAAAGCUCUAUCAGCAGGGAAGAUGAUGACGGUACCUGACUAAGAAGCCCCGGCUAACUACGUG
rnacentral:rRNA from 1 species